UACAGAGGUCUCAAGCGUUGUUCGGAUUCAUUGGGCGUAAAGGGUGCGUAGGCGGCGCGGAAAGUCGGGUGUGAAAUUUCGGAGCUUAACUCCGAAACUGCAUUCGAUACUCCCGUGCUUGAGGACUGGAGAGGAGACUGGAAUUUACGGUGUAGCAGUGAAAUGCGUAGAGAUCGUAAGGAAGACCAGUGGCGAAGGCGGGUCUCUGGACAGUUCCUGACGCUGAGGCACGAAGGCCAGGGGAGCAAACGGG
rnacentral:rRNA from 1 species